CAGCCGCCACGGGAAUACGUAGGGUGCGAGCGUUAAUCGGAAUUACUGGGCGUAAAGCGUGCGCAGGCGGUUGUGUAAGACAGGUGUGAAAUCCCCGGGCUUAACCUGGGAACUGCGCUUGUGACUGCACAGCUAGAGUAUGGCAGAGGGGGGUGGAAUUCCACGUGUAGCAGUGAAAUGCGUAGAGAUGUGGAGGAACACCGAUGGCGAAGGCAGCCCCCUGGGCCAAUACUGACGCUCAUGCACGAAAGCGUGGGGAGCAAACAGGAUUAGAUACCCGGGUAGUCCCUGUCUCUUAUAC
rnacentral:rRNA from 1 species